AUAUUGACUGAAAGUAACAAAUAUUUUUUCAGGAAUUGCUGUGCUGUGUACCAUUUCUGACGAAUGCUGAUAAUAUUGAGGUUUUCCUACACCUGUUCUUGGUUACACUUUCAAUCUUGACUUUGAAUUUAUGAAGGCUAGAGUGUGCUUUGUGUUCAAAAUGUUUUUCUUUCAGUGCAUUUAAAUAAGGUAGGUGAAUAUAAAAAGGAAUGCAAGAUAUAUUAAUUAAAAGGAAUGCAAGAUAAAUUAAUAAUAGACAUUUCUACCUGGCCUGAAACUGUAAAAUGUAUCACUUUGAAAGUAACUAAUAGGAUGAAAACGCGUGUGCAAAGCUUCGGAAAUAUAUGAAGACGUAUCAGUGUAGCACUGAAUCUUAAUACUUACUAGGAAGACUUCAUUUAUGUUGAUAGAGAAUUUAAAGUUUCUUUUCUAGGAUUUUGUUGUAAACUAUGAGCUGAUGGAGCGUGCUGGGGAACAUGCUGGAUGAUUUAUCAGGCGCUCCCGAAAACCAAUCCUUAAAUCACCGAAACUGUUAAAUCACCGUCGGUAGAUAGAUUGAGAUAUGGGUGUCGAGAGAUACAAUUCUCAAUACUGUCCAAUGGGAGUAGAUUGUUGCAUUGCUGAAAUUGUCUGAAACUUAAAAGGAUCCUGAAUUAGCUCACUGAUCUUUGCAAGUCUCUUUAAUGUUGGUUUUACAAGAUUCUGCAUCAUGUGGGUGGAUGUAAAUUCGCACUAUUUCAACUUCAAGACUAGAUUUGAGAUAGGAGUUUGCUGCUAAAUGUUUUGGCAAUGAUGAGGAAAUUCAGGACAUGAGUGAAGGAGGAAAUCAGAAAAGAGACUAAAAUCUUUUAGGAUCUUUGCACCUCCGGAACCCCUUUCGUCAUCUUUUGCGGCAUCAACUUCUACCUCAGCUUCAUCCAUUCCAGCUCCUCCAUCUUACAAGGUAGUGGCGCUGAGAUAAUCACACCUGCAUUCACGGGGUUUAGAUUUCUCGUUAACGCUUCCGGAGGUGACACUGAUCUUCCAAGACUAGGAUUUUAUCAGCUUUUUUAUGAUCUGAGUUCUUGGAUAUGUUCUAUGCUGGGAUAUUUAUAAUUCUGCUGGUUGAUAUUGUUAUUCAUCUAAAUAAAUGUGUAAUUUAACAACCAAAUAUAAUUUAUUGAGAA